rnacentral:rRNA from 1 species
ACUCCUACGGGAGGCAGCAGUGGGGAAUAUUGCACAAUGGGCGCAAGCCUGAUGCAGCCAUGCCGCGUGUAUGAAGAAGGCCUUCGGGUUGUAAAGUACUUUCAGCAGUGAGGAAGGUGGGUAUGUUAAUAGCAUACUCAUUUGACGUUAGUCUGCAGAAGAAGCACCGGCUAACUCCCGUGCCAGCAGCCGCGGUAAUACGGAGGGUGCGAGCGUUAAUCGGAAUUACUGGGCGUAAAGCGCAUGCAGGUGGUUUGUUAAGUCAGAUGUGAAAGCCCGGGGCUCAACCUCGGAAUUGCAUUUGAAACUGGCAAACUAGAGUACUGUAGAGGGGGGUAGAAUUUCAGGUGUAGCGGUGAAAUGCGUAGAGAUCUGAAGGAAUACCGGUGGCGAAGGCGGCCCCCUGGACAGGAUACUGACACUCAGAUGCGAAAGCGUGGGGAGCAAACAGGAUUAGAUACCCUGGUAGGCUCU